rnacentral:rRNA from 1 species
UACGUAGGGUGCGAGCGUUGUCCGGAAUUAUUGGGCGUAAAGAGCUUGUAGGCGGUUUGUCGCGUCUGCUGUGAAAAUCCGGGGCUCAACCCCGGACUUGCAGUGGGUACGGGCAGACUAGAGUGUGGUAGGGGAGACUGGAAUUCCUGGUGUAGCGGUGGAAUGCGCAGAUAUCAGGAGGAACACCGAUGGCGAAGGCAGGUCUCUGGGCCGAUACUGACGCUGAGGCACGAAAGCCAGGGGAGCAAACGGG